CAUUUGGCACCAACUACGCGUCAAGGUAUCUCAACAAGAAUCCUGCUGCCGGAAAGAAGAGCGUGAUCAGUUUGGUGCUUCAGCUGGAGGGGGAGAGCAGGACAUGGGACACGGAGCUGCAGCGCAAGACUGAUCACACGGCGAUUGUUGAAGGAUGGGCGUCUUUCGCCGGUGGCAACCGCCUGCAGGAGGGCGACAUCUGCCUCUUCAAGCUGAUGGAGAGCGAGGAGCCGCUGAAGAUGAUGGUCUACAUCAUUCGUGCUGAGGAGUGUACUUGAGGCAUGGAUGCGCUCUUGCUACUCUGAUUAUCAAGAAUCUGGGAACGGAAAACAAUGUGGCAUCUCCAAACGGGGUCAGAGAGGAAGGAACUUGUUUGUUUUUCUACCGUCGUAGUAGUUAUGUGCGGUCUUUGUUAUCUAGACUCUAUAGUAACUUUGAAUGGUCAAGUUUGAACAACUUAUUAUGUUUUGCUGAGGUGUGAGGCCAUAUGUUUUUCCAUGGUUGAUGUAUUUUAAUUGGCAACACCUCUAUUAUCAUAUUCAUCUUGGUUGCUACAGAAAUACAGGCGCGCCUCCGG
rnacentral:lncRNA from 1 species